rnacentral:rRNA from 1 species
UACGUAGGCAGCAAGCGUUGUUCGGAAUUACUGGGCGUAAAGAGUGUGUAGGUGGUGUCGUAAGUUUGGUGUGAAAUCUCCCGGCUUAACUGGGAGGGUGCGCCGAAGACUGCGAUGCUGGAGUAUGGGAGAGGAAAGCGGAAUUCCUGGUGUAGCGGUGAAAUGCGUAGAUAUCAGGAGGAACACCUGCGGUGUAGACGGCUUUCUGGACCAUUACUGACACUGAGACACGAAAGCGUGGGGAGCAAACAGG